AGUGAACGCUGGCGGUAGGCCUAACACAUGCAAGUCGAACGGCAGCACAGUAAGAGCUUGCUCUUACGGGUGGCGAGUGGCGGACGGGUGAGGAAUGCAUCGGAAUCUACUUUUUCGUGGGUGAUAACGUAGGGAAACUUACGCUAAUACCGCAUACGACCUACGGGUGAAAGCAGGGGAUCUUCGGACCUUGCGCGAUUGAAUGAGCCGAUGUCGGAUUAGCUCGUUGGCGGGGUAAAGGCCCACAAAGGCGACGAUCCGUAGCUGGUCUGAGAGGAUGAUCAGCCACACUGGAACUGAGACACGGUCCAGACUCCUACGGGAGGCAGCAGUGGGGAAUAUUGGACAAUGGGCGCAAGCCUGAUCCAGCCAUACCGCGUGGGUGAAGAAGGCCUUCGGGUUGUAAAGCCCUUUUGUUGGGAAAGAAAAGCAGCAGGUUAAUACCCCGCUGUUCUGACGGUACCCAAAGAAUAAGCACCGGCUAACUUCGUG
rnacentral:rRNA from 1 species